rnacentral:rRNA from 1 species
UACGUAGGCAGCGAGCGUUGUUCGGAGUUACUGGGCGUAAAGCGAGUGUAGGCGGUUUGGUAAGUCGGAUGUGAAAGCCCCGGGCUCAACCCGGGAAGUGCACUCGAUACUGCCAAGCUAGAGUAUCGGAGAGGUUGGUGGAAUUCUCGGUGUAGAGGUGAAAUUCGUAGAUAUCGAGAGGAACACCGGUGGCGAAGGCGGCCAACUGGACGAAUACUGACGCUGAGACUCGAAAGCGUGGGGGGAGCAAACAGG